rnacentral:lncRNA from 1 species
CCACAGGAAGGAAUUCUGGAAGAUAUGCCUGUUGAUCCUGACAAUGAGGCAUACGAAAUGCCUUCUGAGGUAAAACUUUAUAUACAUACAACUCUGAAAGUAAACUUCAGGAGUUCAAGUUGGGUCUUUCUAAUAAGCAGUAUCAAAAGUCUGUCCCUCCCAGAUUUUCGUUACAUUUGUUUUUAUUGAAAACUAUUUACUCUCUAGAGGGAUAAGUUGGCCAAAUCCAGAAUGUUUUGUGAAGACAACUUGAAAACUAGAAAUGGUUUUUACAUUUGUAAAGUAUUGUUUAAAAAAAAAAAGAAAAAGCUACAGAGACACUAUGUUGUCCACACAAACUAAUAUUUGUACUUGCUUAACCUCUACAGAAAGUGUUUGGUGAACACUGCAUUGGAAAAUUAUUUUAUUAAAUAUGGUGUUUUUUAAUUUAAAUUUUAGUUAGUUGACAUACAGUGCAAUAUUGGUUUCAGGCAUAGAAUUCAGUGAUUCAUCACUUAUAUGUGACACCCAGUGCUCAUCACAACAAAUGCCCUCCUUGAUACCCAUCACCUAUCUAGCCCAUCUCCACAUCUCCACUUCAUCAACCCUCAGUUCUCUAUCAUUAAGAGUCUCUUGUGGUUUGUUCCCCUCUCUUUUCUUUUUUGUCCUCCUCUUUCUAGAAGUUCAUCUGUUUAGUAUCUUAAUUGCCACAUAUGAGUGAAAUCAUAUGGUAUUUGUCUUUCUCUGAUUGACUUAUUUUGCUUAUCACAAUACAUUCUAACUCCAUGUAGUUGCAAGUGGCAGGAUUUUAUUUUUUUGAUGGCUAAUAUUCCAUUGUGUAUAUAUACCAAAUCUUCUUUAUCCAUUCAUCAGUCAAUGGACAUUUGAGCAGUAUCCAUAGUUUGGCUAUCAUUGAUAAUGCUGCUGUAAACAUUGGGGUGCAUGUAUCUCAAUGAAUCUGUAGUUUUGUAUCCUUUGGGUAAAUAUCUAAUAGUGCUAUCAAUGGAUCCUAGAGUAGGUCUAUUUUAGUUUUUUUGAGGAACCCCAUAUUUUUCUCCAGAGUGGCUGCAUCAGUUUGCAUUCCUAACAACAGUGCAAGAGGGUUGCUCUUUCUCCACAUCCUUGCCAACACCUGUUGUUUCUUGUGUUGUUAAUUUUAACCAUUCUGACAGGUGUGAGGUGGUAUCUCAUUGGGGUUUUGAUUUGUAUUUCCCUGAUGAUGCAUGAUGUUGAGCAUCUUUUCAUGUACCUGUUAGCCAUCUGGAUGUCUUCUUUGAAAAAGUGUCUAUUCAUGUCUUCUGCCCAUUUUCUUAACUGGGUUAUUUGUUUUUUGGGUAUUGAGUUUGAUAAGUUCUUUAUAGAUUUUGCAUACUAAUCCUUUAUCUGAUAUGUCAUUUGUAAAUAUCUUUUCCCAUUCUAUAGGCUGAGUUUUAGUUUUGUUGAUUGUUUCCUUCACUGUGUAGAAGCUUUUUAUCUUGAUGAAGUCCCAAUAGUUCAUUUUUGCUUUUGUUUCCCUUGUUUUCAACAACAUGUCUUCUUACUAAGAAGUGAUUCUGGUUGAGGUCAAAAAGAUUGCUGCCUCAGGGCACCUGGGUGGCUCACUCGGUUAAGCAUAGGACUUUGCCUCAGGUCACGAUCUCAUGGUUUGUGAGUUCCAGCCCAGCAUUGGGCUCUGUGCUGAGAGCUUGGAGCCUGGAGCCUGCUUCAGAUUCUGUGUCUCCCCUCUCUGUCUCUCUGCCCAUACCCCACUUGCACUCUGUCUCUGCCUGUCUCUCAAGAAUGAAUAAACGUUAAAAAAAAAAUAAUUGCUGCCUCUGUUCUUCUCUAAGAUUUUGAUGGUUUCCUGUCUCACAUUUAGAUCUUUCAUCCAUUUUGAAUUUAUUUUUGCGUAUGGCGUAAGAAAGUGGUCCAGUUUCAUUUUUCGGCAUUUCGCUGUCCAGUUUUUCCAAAUCCAUUUGUUGAAGAGACUGUCUUUUUUUCCAUUAGAUACUUUUUCUUGCUUUGUUGAAGAUUAGUUGACCAUAUAGUUAUGGGUUCAUUUCUGUGUUUUUCUGUUUUGUUCCACUGAUCCAUGUGUCUGUUCUUGUGCCAGUAGCCUACUGUCUUGAUGACUACAGCUUUUUAUAUAGCUUGACAUCCAGAAUUGGGUUGCCUCCAGUUUCAUUUUUCUUUUUCAGGAUUGCUUUGGCUAUUCGAGAUCUUUUGUGGUUCCAUACAAAUUUUAUGACUGUUAGUUUUAGUUCUAUGAAAAGUGUAUAUUUUGAUAGGGAUUGCAUUAAAUGUGUAGAUUGCUUAAGGUAGCAUAGACAUUUUAAAAAUGCUUGUUCUUCUAAUCAAUGAGCAUGGAAUUCUUUUCCAUUUCUUUGUCUCCCCUGCAGUUUCUUUUAUAAGUGUUCUAUAGUUUUCAGAGUACAAAUCUUUCACCUCUUUAGUUACAUUUAUUCCUAGGUAUCAUAUUGUUUUUCAUGCAUUGCAAAUGGGAUCAAUUCCUUGAUUUCUUUUUCUGCUGCUUUGUUAUUAGUGUAUAGAAAUGCAACCAAUUUCUGCAUGUUGAUUGUAUAUCCUGAAACUUUGCUGAAUUCAUCUCUUACUUCUAGCAAACUUUUGUGUAGUCUUUUGAAUUUUCCACAUAGAGUAUCAUGUUGUCUGCAAAUAAUGAAAGUUUUGCUUCUUCCUUGCUGAUUUGGAUGCCUUUCUUUCUUUUCUUUCUUUAUUUUGUCUAAUUGCUGAGGCUAAGACUUCCAGUGCUAUGUUAGAUAGUAAUGGUGAGAGUGGACAUCCUUGUCUUGAUUCUUACAGUAAGGGAGAGGCUCUUAGUUUUUCCCUAUUGAGGAUAUUAGGUGUAGGUCUUUCAUAUAUGGCCUUUAUGAUGUUGAGGUGUGUUCCAUCUAUCCCUACUUUAUUGAAGGUUUUUACCAAGAAUGGAUGCUGAAUUUUGUCAAAUGUUUUUUUCUGCAUCUAUUGACAGGGUCAUAUGGUUCUUAUCUUUUAUUUUAUUAAUGUGGUGUAUCACGUUGAUUGAUUUGUGAAUAUUUAACAGCCCUGUAGUCUGGGAAUAAAUUUUAAUUGAUCAUGGUGAAUAAUUCUUUUAAUGCACCGAUGAAUUUGAUUUUGCUAGUACUUUUAUUAAGAAUUUUUGCAUCCAUGUUCAUCUGGGAUAUUGGCCUGUAAUUCUCCUUUUUAGUGGGGUCUUUAUCUGGUUUUGGAAUCAAGGUGAUACUGGCUUCAUAGAAUGAGUUUGGAAGCUUUCCAUCCAUUUUUAUUUUUUGGAACAGUUUGAGGAGAAUUGGUAUUAACUCUUUUUUAAAUGUUGGAUAGAAUUCCCCUGGGAAACCACUUGAGCCAGAACUCUUGUGUGGGAGAUUUUUUUUUUUUUUUUUUACUAUUGAUCAAUUUCUUUGCUGGUUAUGAGUCUCUUCAAAUUUUCAAUUUCUUCCUGUUUCAAUUUUGGUAGUUUGUGAAUUUCUAGGAAUUUGUCUAUUUCUUCCAGAUUGCCCAGAUUGUUGGCAUAUAAUUUUUCAUAGUAUUCUCUUAUAAUUAUUUGUAUUUCUGUGGUAAUGGUUGUGAUCUCUCCCCUUUCAUUCACGGUUUUAUCUAUUUAGGUCCUUUCUCUUUUCUUUUUGAUAAGUCUGUAUAGGGGGUUAUCAAUUUUGUCAAUUCUUUCAAAGAAUCAGCUCUUAGUUUCAUUGAUCUGUUCUUUUUGUUUGUUUGUUUCUAUAUCAUUUAUUUCUGCUGUAGUCUCUAUUAUUUGCCUUCCUCUGCUGGCUGGGCUUUAUUUGCCUUUCCUCUUCUAGCUCCUUUAGUUAUAAGAUUAGAUUGUGUAUUUGAGACCUUUCUUGCUUCUUGAGAUAGACCUGAAUUGCAAUAUACUUUCCUCUUAGGACUGUCUUUGCUGCAUCACAAAGGUUUUGGACUGUUGUGUUUUCAUUUUCAUUUACUUCCAUGUAUUUUUUAAAAAUUUCUUCUUUAAUUUCCUGAUUAACCCAUUCAUUCUUCAAUAGAAUGUUCUUUAACCUCUGUGUACUUGAGUGCUUUCCAAUUUUUUUUUUUUUGUGGUUGACUUCAAGUUUCAUAGCACUGUGAUAUGAAAAUAUGCAUGCUUUAAUUUUGAUCUUUUUGUACUUGUUGAGGGCUGAUUCAUGACCAGUAUGCAAUCUAUUCUGGAGAAUGUCCCAUGUGCGCUCAAAAAGAAUGUGUAUUCUGCUGCUUUAGGAUGAAAUAUUCUGAAUAUAUCUGUGAAGUCCAUCCAGUCCUGUGUAUCAUUCAAAGCCAUGUCUCUUUGUUGAUUUUCUGCUUAAAUGACCUGUCCAUUGUUGUAAGUGGGGUGUUAAAGUCCCCUACUAUUAUUGUAUGAUUAUCAGUGAGUUUCUUUAUGGUGUUAAUUGAUUUAUAUAUUUGGGUUUUCCAAGUUUGGGGUAUUAAUAGUUACUGUUAGAUCUUAUUGUUGGAUAGAUCCCAUAAUUAUGAUAUAAUACCCUCUUCAUCUCUUAUUAUAGUCUCUGUUUUAAAAUCUAGUUUGUCUAAUAUAAGUAUGGCUACUUCAGCUUUCCUUUGACCUCAAUUAGCAUGAUAGAUGGUUCUCUAUCCCCUCACUUUCAAUCUGCAGGUAUCCUUAGGUCUAAAAUGAGUUUCUUAUAGGCAGCAAAUAGAUGGAUCUUGUUUUUUUAAUCCAUUCUGCUACCCUAUAUCUUUUGGCUGGGGUAUUUAGUCCAUUUACAUUCAGAGUGAUUAUUGAAAGAUAUGAAUUUAGUGCCAUUGUGUUACCUGUAGAGUUUGUGUUUCUGGUAAUGCUCUCUGGUCCUUUAUAGUCUUUGUUUUGUCUUUUUUUUUUUUUUUUCUUCACUCAGAGAGUCCCCCUUAAAAUUUCUUGCAGGGCUUGUUUAGUGGGCAUGAACUCCUUUAGUUUUUGUUUGUCUGGGAAACUCUUUAUCUCUUUUCUUAUUCUGAAUGACAGCCUUCCUGGAUAAAGACUUCGUGGUUGCAUAUUUUUGCCAUUCAGCAAGUUGAAUAUAUCCUGCCACUCCUUUCUGGCCUGCCAAGUUUCAGUGGACAGAUCUGCUGAGAAACUGAUCUGUCUUCCCUUGAACGUUAAGGCCUUUUAUUCCCUUGCUGCUUUCAGGAUUCUUUCUUUGUGUAUUUUGUGAAUUUGACUAUGAUAUACCUUGUCAAUGGUAGCUUUUGUUAAGUUUAAUGGAGUUCUCUGUGCUUCUUGGAUUUUGAUAUCUGUGUCUUUCCCCAAAUUAGGAAAGUUUUCAGCUAUAAUUUGUUUGAAUAGACAUUCUACCCCUUUUUCUCUCUCUUCAACUUCUGGGACUCCUCUCAUACAAAUGUUACUACAUUUUAACAAGUCACUGAGUUCCCUAAGUCUGCCUUCAUGAUUCAUGACAUUUGUUUCCCUCUUCUUUUUAGCUUCAUUAUUUUCCAUAAUUUUAUUUUCUAUAUCACUAAUUUAUACCUCUGCCUCAUCUGUCCUUGCUGUCAUGGCAUCAAUUUGGGUUUACAUCUUGAUUAUAGUAUUUUAAUUUCAGUCUGACUAGAUUUUAGUUCUUUUAUCUCUGCAGAAAGGGAUUCUCUGGUAUCUUCUAUGCUUUUUCAAGCCCAGGUAAUAUCUUUAUCAUCGUUUUAAAUUCUAGCUCAGACAUCUUACUUAUAUCUGUAUUGAUUAAAUCAAUAGGCCAUGGGUUCUAAAUCCUGUUCUUUCUUUUGGGGUGAAUUUCUCUGUCUCAUCCUUUUGUCCAGAAAAGAAGAGAGAAAUAAAAACAAAAACAGAAACAAAACAUUCCCCAGAAACAAACAAAAAAACAACAAACCUAGAUCCUGGGUUUAUUUUUGUCUGCUUAUUAAAGGAAUCUAGAUCCAAAAAUAAAAUAUAUAUAUAUAUAUAUAUAUAUAUAUAUAUAUGUAAUAUAUGUGAAAAUAAAAAUAAAAAGGAAUUAAAAAUAAGAAAGUAAAUGAAAAAAUAAUAAUUAAAAAAUAAAGAAUCAAAAUAACGAGGAAACUAGAUCCUAUUUCCCCUAGAGCUGAAGCUUUGGUGCACUCUAUGAUUAGUAGACUUGGUGCAAGAGAGUCCAUGCUGCUCUUCUGGGGGAGAGGCCUGUUGUACUGAUUCUCAGGCUGACUUGUUUUCCUAGAAAUGUGCCUCUAAGAGGCAGAAGGAUAGGGCUCCAGCCUCCACUAGGUGGUGCUUGUUUUCUCCCUGAAGGCUUUCAGAGCUGAUGGGUGGGAUGAAUAUAGCAACAUCCUACUCUCUAGCCUUGGAACUGAAAGAUCAGUCCCCCACUCUUCAGGGAGCCCUCACAGAAGGGUAUUCAAUCACUCUUCUUGUGUUCCCAGUUUCUGUCAGAACCCUAUGUUCACUCUGCUGUGUUUGAACUUUUUUAUCUCAGGCACAUAACUGAGUUUCAAAACUCCAAAUUGUAAAGACUCCCACGACACCUGCUCUGUUCUUCUGGGGGAGGGUCUUGCUGCAUUUUUUGCAAGCCCAUGCUAGGAAAGCAGUCACAAGACCCCAUGGCAGUUCAGAGUUUAUGUCAAAGAGCAGAAAGCUGGCACCCCUGCUUGAUGCCCUCAGCCCAAGUCCCAGCUCCUAUGCCUGGACACAGCUCAACAUAUUGGUGCCUCUCAGACCCAUGGGAUCCUCAGACCAUGGGAUCCAUGGGAUUCUCAGACCACACUGCCACUCCUUGGAUUCUGCCCCAAUUGGCCAUGCAAGCACCUUUAAGCCAUGCACAUGCCCCACUGUGAGGGACUUCUAAAAGUUCAGAUUUUGUACCCCACUGCUAUAAUACUUUGCAGUACCCUCCAUAAGCAGGUUUCCUCCCAGCCGCCAUACUCACAGCUUUGUCUCCCCCAAGUCAACACCUUGCAUCUCCCACCUUCUGGAAGGUGGUUGCUUUUUUACUUGUAGACUUGCCAUUUUUGUUCUCUCACACCUCUGAUUGAUUUCUUGGGUGUUAUGAAUGAUUUGAUAAUUAUCUAGCUGUGUUCAAAGGAUAAGACAAGCUUCUGCCAUCUUAACUCCCUUCAAAAACUUACUUUCUAAAAUAAAUCCCCAGAUGGAACUUUGUAUAAAUCAACUGAAUGCCUAAGGAAAGUAAUUAUUAUUGCCAUACAUUUCCAGAAAGAUAUUUUCAUAGUAAAAUAAAAGUUGCCCACAAAAAUUAUAGAGUAAAAAUAUGAGAAAUGCAUGGUUUGCAACAUUGACGUAUUGCAAUUUAGCAUUUUAAACAGCUAAUUUACCUAUGUUAAUUUGGAAAUAUGUUUUUUUUAAAUAGAAAAUGUAUCACAAGGAAAAUUGAAAAAUACUUUUAGAUUAAUGAAGCUGACACAAGAAGAAAUAGAAAAUCUGAAUAGACCUAUAACAAAGUAAAGAGACUGAAUUAUUGUUUUUUUGUUUUUUUUUUUUUUUCAACGUUUAUUUAUUUUUGGGACAGAGAGAGACAGAGCAUGAAUGGGGGAGGGGCAGAGAGAGAGGGAGACACAGAAUCGGAAACAGGCUCCAGGCUCCGAGCCAUCCGCCCAGAGCCUGAUGCGGGGCUCGAACUCCCGGACCGCGAGAUCGUGACCUGGCUGAAGUCGGACGCUUAACCGACUGCGCCACCCAGGCGCCCCUGAAUUAUUGUUAAGAAAAUCUACUCACAGGGGCACCUGGUGGCUCAGUCAGUUGAACGACUGAAUUUGGCUCAAGUCAUGAUCUCAUGUCAUGUUUGUGGGUUCAAGCCCCAUGUCAGGCACUGUGCUGACAGUUCAGAGUCUGGAGCCUGCUUCAGAUUCUGUGUCUCCUUCUUUCCAUACCCCUCCCCUGCUUAUGCUCUGUCUCUUUUUCUCUUUUAAAAAUAAACAUUAAAAUAUUUUUCUUUUAGAAAGGAAAAAGAAAAUCUACCCACACACACACACACACCCACAAAAAUCCCAGGACCAUAUAGCUUCACUGGUGAAUUCUAUCAAACAUUUAAUUAAUAAGUAUUAAUUAUAAUUAAUACCAAUUAAUUUCUCUUCCAGAAAAAAAAAAAAAAGAGGAAGCAAUACUCCCAAAUUAAUUCCAUAAGGGCAAUACUACACUGAUGCCAAAACCAGACAUCAUAAGCAAAAAACAUGUAGUAUUCAUUAAAAAUUAAGUUAAAACUAGUAGUAGUUAGGUUAGAUAUUGGCAUUUGUAAAAGACAUACUGAUAAUCCCAUUUAUAGAAACUGAAAUUAACUUGUUUUUUUUGCUUAGAUUUUUACCAAUAAUUUUGAGUGUUUUUAAGUUCAGCACAAUGCUAAACACUAUAGAAAAUACAAGAAGGUUAAUUGAUAGUACCAGGACACAAGUAGUCCAUCCUAAUAAGUUUGAUAAAAACAAAUACAAAUUUACUGUUUCAUUUAUUCAUGAUGAUUCCUUUAACAGACAUUGACUGUCUUCUAUAUAUCAGGCAUCACAGAGGCAAAAUAUGCAAGAUACACAAAAAAGUAUAAUAUUUUACAGAAUCUGUUUAGAGUCAUCGGGAGUUUUAUACAAGAGUUGGUGUUGAUUGGUGUGGUAGGGGAUGGGAGAUAAUGAUGGCCAAAAUGAAAGGAAGAUAUUCUAGAACAGGUAAUAUUGGAAGCAAGGCAUGUCUGAGCAUGCAUAAGGAUAUGUUUGAGGAACAGUGAAUAAUUAAACAGGAUUUCAGUUUAGGGAACAGAGAGAAUUGUGACAGAUUAAGACUGCAGAGAUGAGUCAACGACAAAUUGUAGAAUACUAGAAGAACCUUCGCAUUUAAGUAUGUACUGUAUUCAGAAAGCAACUUGAAUUAUUGAAGGUACAUUUAUUUGUUUUAAAGCAGGAUCUUGAUUCAAGUUAUUCUUUAGGAGGACUAUUCUGAGCACUUUAUUUAAGGCCUUUAAUAUUUUUAUUGUGGAUGUUAUCUACAUAUUGUUUGGGGAGAGGGGGAUUUAGAAUAGAAGUAAUAACUGAAGCCAAGGAUGAAGAAAAGAUUUUCAAAACAUCACUUGCCUUAAUGUCUUUGUCUCCCUUUAAGAAUUAGAACAUUUUUAGCCCUGGAAGAGGAUUUUAGGCCACUUGAUUUGGCUCUUAUAACUUACAGUUGAGGAAACUGGGAGCAAGACAGACCACCUAACUUGUUCUAUACGAUUAGAACAUAUGAUUAUUGGGGCGCCUGGGUGGCUCAGUUGGCUGAGCAUCUGACUUUGGCUCAGGUCAUGAUCCCACAGGUUGCAGGUUUGAGCCCUGCAUCCGGCUUUGUGCUGACAGCUCAGAGCCUAGAGCCUGCUUCGGAUUCCUUCUCACUCUGCCUUCCCCCCCCUCACACUUUGUCUGUGUCUCUCUCAAAAAUAAAUAAGCAUUAAAAAAAAAAAAAGACCAUAUGAUUGUUAAAUAGCAUCUGGAUACCCUAACUCUGAACAGCAAAAUUCACUUUUAUAUUUGACAGGAAGACAAAACUGUUACAGAAUAAGAUCAUAUUGUGUAUAACUGAAUAGUUGCAGAACCUUUAUUCAAGGUGGUGAUCCAUGUCCUAUCUCAUUCACCCUAAAUCCUUGAUUCCUGAUGACUAAUAUUAACACUGCAUGUUUUCUUUUUGGUUUUCUUCAUAUUAGGAAGGGUAUCAAGACUAUGAACCCGAAGCAUAAGAAAUACUUUUACUCGCAGUUUCUUGAGAUCUACUGAGAGAUGUUCCAUCCUGUACAAGUACUCAGUUCCAACGUGCCCAGUCAUGAUAUUUUUCUCAAAGUUUUUACAGUGUAUUUUAAACUCUUCCAUCAGCAGUGAUUGAAAUUAUCUGUACCUGCCCUUACUCAGCAUUUCAGUGCUUCCCUCUCACUGAAGUGAAUAUAUGGUAGCAGGGUCUUUGUGUGCUGUGUGGAUAUUGUGGCUUCAAAUCUAAAAGUUAAAUUAAAACACCUAAGUGACUACCACUUAUUUCUAAAUCUUCACUAUUUUUUUUGUUGCUGUUCUUGAGAAGUUGUGAUUUAUUAUCAUAUAUUAUAAGAUUUCUAGGUGUCAUUUAAUGAUUCUGUCUAAAAAUAAUGAUGUAUUGUGAAAUUUGUUAAUAUAUACAAUACUUAAAAAUAUGUGAGCAUGAAACUAUGCACCUAUAAAUAUUAACUAUAAAAUUUUACUGUUUUGUGAUGUGUUUUAUUAACUUGUGUUUAUAUAUAAAUGGUGAAAAUUAAAAUGUCUCAUUACAAAGAUCUUAUUUUUAAUCCCAUCUCAUUUUAAAUAAUAAAAUCAUGCUUAUAACAAUGUGAACUGAGAACUCCCACAAUUAAAGUUCUUGACAGCCAUUUGAAGGAGAAGGAAUUUUGGAAGAGUUAAGCAGACAAGAUGGAACAUUAACCCUACUCUGGGAAUUCACUGAAGCAACACUACCCAAAGUAUGUUCUGAUGUGCAGUGGUUUCUUGAGAAGCUAUACAGAAAAAAUGGGUUCCACCGAACAGUGAUUUUAAGAAAUAAUUUUGACUGUCUGCUUCAGAUAUUAAUAAAACAUAUUAGUACAUUAAGACUCUGAGAGAAUCUGGUUAACUUUGUUUAACCCAGCAUUUUAUUUUUAUUAUUUCUAAAAUCAAAC